rnacentral:rRNA from 1 species
UACAGAGGGGGCAAGCGUUGUUCGGAAUUACUGGGCGUAAAGGGCGCGUAGGCGGCCGCCUAAGUCAGACGUGAAAUCCCUCGGCUCAACCGGGGAACUGCGUCUGAUACUGGGUGGCUUGAAUCCGGGAGAGGGAUGCGGAAUUCCAGGUGUAGCGGUGAAAUGCGUAGAUAUCGGGAGGAACACCAGUGGCGAAGGCGGCUGCCUGGGCCAGUUCUGACGCUGAGGCGCGAAAGCGUGGGGAGCAAACAGG